rnacentral:lncRNA from 1 species
GCCGUCGCACUGAAAUCUCCUCCUCGCCAGCAGAAACUUGGUGAUCAGCAUCAAUCAAUGCCACACGAAGGUGAGCUGGGAGGGAGACAGCAGUGAUUUAACCUCAUCAAGUUGGCCGGGCGCAGUGGCUCACGCCUGUAAUCCCAGCACUUUAGGAGGCUGAGGCGGGCGGAUCACGAGGUCAGGAGAUCGAGACCAUCCUGGCCAACAUGGUGAAACGGUAUCUCUACUAAAAAUACAAAAAUUAGCCAGGCAUGGUGGUGCGCACCUGUAGGCCCAGCUACUCGGGAGGCAGAGGUUGCAGUGAGCCGAGAUCAUGCCACUACACUCCAGUGUGGGCAACACUGGAUUAUUUAUUCAAAAACAAAUAAAUAAAGUCAUUAAGUACACUAAAGGACAGCAAUGGCUUUCACCAGUUUGUGGGUGUGAAGAAGAGAGAGGCGACUAAAUUAUACGUGUAGAAAAUAUGUUUUUGAGGCAUUUCACAGUAAAAGAAAACGAUGAAAAGAAGAACAAAUAGCACAAAAUAACAGCUAUUUUAACAUAGGGCAGAUCAAUGAAUCUCUGAACACAGGAGAAAACCUGUUUUAUAACCACAGGGAAAAUACUGAAGAUUCUACAGGAAGACUUGGCAAUCGAGGUCUUAGUGGGGGACAGCAGAGCAGAAUCAAAGGACAAAUGAAAAUAGAUGGUCAGGCAUAUGGCUCAUGCCUGUAGUCCCAGCUACUUGGGAGGCUAAGGCAGGAGGAUCGCUUGAGCCUAGGAGUUUGAGACCAUCCUGGACGACAUAGGGAGACCCCAUCUCUACAAAAAUGAAAAAAAAAAUGAGCUCAGUGGCUCAGUGUGAUGGCAUGUGCCUGAAGUAGCAGCUACUAAGGAGGCUGAAGUAAGAGGAUCACUUGAGCCCAGGAGUUGGAGGCUGCAGUGAGCUACCAUCACUCCACUGCACUCCAGUCUGGGUGAAAAAGCAAGACAGUCUCUCAAAACAAGAAAAAAGAGGGCCAGGCGUGGUGGCUCACGCCUGUAAUCCCAGCACCUUGGGAGGCAGAGGUGGGAGGGUCAUCUGAGGUCAGAAGUUCAAGACCAGCCUGGCCAGCCAACAUAGCAAAACCCCAUCUCUACUGAAAAAAAAAAAAAAAAAAAAAAAAUUUAGCCGAGCAUGGUGGUGGCACGUGCUUGUAAUCCCAGCUACUCAGGAGGCUGAAGCAGGAGAAUCACUUCAACCUGGGAGGCGGAGGUUGCAGUGAGCCAAGAUCGUACCACUGUACUCGAGCCUGGGCAACAGCCAGACUGUCUCAAAAAAAAAAAAAACAAAAAAAAGAAAAAAAAAAGAAAAAAAUAGACUAUGCCUUUCUCUAAAAUCCAGAGACAGGAAAGGAAUCGUGUAGUGAUGUGUGCAGGUGGCAGGAUCACUAAGGCAUCUCAAGGUUUAAGGCCAAAUGUCCACAGCUGCUUGCAAAGAUCCAGGGUUUUUUUUUUUUUUUUUUUUUGAGAUGAGUCUCGCUCUGUCACCCAGGCUGGAGCACAGUGGCACAAUCUCGGCUCACUGCAACCUCUGCUUCCCAGGUUCAAGCGAUUCUCCUGCCUCAGCCUCCUGAGUAGCUGCAACUACAGGUGCGUGCCACCACACCCAGCUAAUUUUUAGUAGAGACGGGGUUUCACCGUGUUAGCCAGAUGGUCUUGAUCUCCUGACCUCAUGAUCCACCCACCUUGGCCUCCCAAAGUGCUGGGAUUACAGGUGUGAGCGACCAUGCCCAGCCAAGAUCCCAAGCUUUUAAGAACAGUUGCCUGAAACAAGAGGACAUCCGGCUAGGCGCCAUGGGUCACGCCUGUAAUCCCAGCACUUUGGGAGGCCAAGGCAGGUGGAUCACCUGAGUUCAGGAGUUUGAAACCAGCCUGACCAACAUGGUGAAACCCAGUCUCUACCAAAAAUACAAAAUAAGUCACACAUGGUGGCGGGCACCUGUAAUCCCUGCUAC